rnacentral:rRNA from 1 species
UAAGUGAUGGCGACCGGCGCACGGGUGAGUAAUACGUAUCCAACCUGCCGAUAACUCGGGGAUAGCCUUUCGAAAGAAAGAUUAAUACCCGAUGGUAUAAUAAAGCCGCAUGGUUUAAUUAUUAAAGAAUUUCGGUUAUCGAUGGGGAUGCGUUCCAUUAGGCAGUUGGUGAGGUAACGGCUCACCAAACCUUCGAUGGAUAGGGGUUCUGAGAGGAAGGUCCCCCACAUUGGAACUGAGACACGGUCCAA